rnacentral:lncRNA from 1 species
GGGCUGAUGCGACCAGCUUGAUGUAACGGCUCACGUGUGCCCACUUCUUCGCAUCCGGUGGCCACAUUUGUCGAGUGAUUGGCUCACGGUGUGGACAACUGCUUUCAAUUCAAUACUACACGAAUGGUUGCCAGAAAGAAAAAAAAAGAAAACGCUGUCAAGCUCACCACACUUCGUGGGCUUGACAACAUAGGGUAAUUCUCAAUGUUCCCUAAACCUGAUUAAGGGAAAGUAUCUACAAGCAUUUAAAGUCACAGAACUGCCAACUAUGUUAAAUUUUGAAUGUUCGUUUAAUGUUUGGUACCGACGAGAGGGAAUAGGAGUAAAUAUAAUUUGGUUCAUGAGCUCUCGAUUGAUUCGUUGUCUGGGUAAAAACGUGAUGGGCGCAAACAAAGCAUCUCUACUUCGCCUCACAUGCAUGCUCAGUUAAACUGCGUUUUCGAGGAGUAUUUUGUUCUAGCGGCUGUAAAGGGAAAAGCGGUACCGUGUUAACGUUGCGCACGAAAUAAUUAACGUGAGGCCUCUUGCAAGAUUUUGUACAUGAAUUUUCAAUAUUGAAGCGCUAGGGACAUGUUUUGAGGUUGAUGUUUUUACAUUCAUUGUACUUUGCAUCGGGUGCUGGGCAAUGCAGCGAAUGUUGAAUACCGCGGUGUUCACGGUUUGUAAAUUGUUAUAUAAGUGACCGCUCUCUGAUGCACAGAUAUUCCUACGGUUGAUAUUAGCGAUGUUUCGCGUAUUAUUAGUGCGAACAACUUUUAUGAACGCGAAAUGCUGUAGUAGGCGGUAGGUUUAUUGCCUACACUAAGAAGAGAAAUCAUUUUUACGGUGCUGUGUUGCAAUAUACAAAGAAAUUUUAUUAUGUCAAAGGCGUGUAGGGAGCAAGCAUAUUAUUGGUUAAAAGAAAGAAAAUGACACAGGAUACCGAUGCGACGAAAAUGUUUCCAAGUCUUCGUAUUAACUUUAGUGGUGUCACGUAUCUAAACAACGCAUUGUGAAUACGUAUAUUAUAAUGAGAAGAACACCACACGCCGUAAAGACGCGAGUCGUGUCGCUUGCAGCAGCGAGGGAGCCAUUCAUGACAACUUAUGGCGCGCGCGGUUUGAACGUUAGGAGAUGUAAUUAAUUAUUAAGAUUAAUCCUGGUAUCAACCAGGGUACAUAUAGCAUUACAAAGGCCACUUCGUCCUUCCGUUCACAUGCUAAUUGUGACGAUAUUUUCAUGAUAUAAAUGCUGUUCUUAUUGAAGCGUACGCUCAAUGAAAUUGUCGCUGUCGACUGCAUUUCUCUGAGUAUACCUACAGUUACAAGCCAAUGUUGUGCCUUUUAUGCGAGAGAUGAAGAGUGUCUAUGUGCAUGCCUUCCAUUACAAUACCAACGUUAUAGUUUCGCAUUGGACACUUCUGUCGAGAUGUCUGAAUUCACACGAGAGGCUGAUUAUCUUCCGUGUGUUAGUGAUAUAUCGUUUUAUGGCGAGAGCAAUUGCUGGUGUGACUACGUUGAAAAUGAUCGUUUUAGAUCUUCAAUUUUGAACAUAUUCGGCGUCAAUCGAAUAUAUUUGCCGUAUUUGGCUACUGCUAACCUUACACUUCUGCUACGAUUACUAGAGAGGAAACACGCAGGAAACGUGGGGCUAGGGUUUGUGGCUUCCCACAGAAGCUUACAGACUUUGACGGGCGUAUUCCCGCGGAAUCGGCGUCAUACCGGCAACUGCAUUCGCGUACAUUUGCAACUCUUAACGCUUGUAACAAACGUAUACGUUUUAAUAAAAUAUGCGCAUUCCCUUUCCUUGAAACUAAUUCAAAGUAAGUUUUCGCGGUCGCUUAAAGCUCAUCUUCAUCAUGUGCCAUUAUCUAGACAUCUCACGUGCAUCUAGUGUGCAUCUAGUGUGCAUCUGACGCUCAACUUGUGAAUAAUUUGAGAGAUCGUUACCUUUAUGUUUAUUCUUGUUUUUUUUUUCAGUUCUUCGCUAUGUCUACUUUUUCGGUGUUCUGGUUAAUAAUUUUUAUUGCAUUGGAUGUUAAAUUUUCUUGAACGUCGUCCCAUUUUUUUUUCGUGACUGCAAUGUAACCAGCAAACUUGAGAUUGUCUCGCCCUGUCGGUGUUUCAGAGUAUAAGCGGGUAUCCAAUGAACAUAGGUCACGCAUCCUUGCAGAUAAUGUGGGCUUCUUUUUGGAAAUAAACGAAAUGGUGCUAAAAUA